GAAAGUAUCAACGUGCAUUUCUUAGACCGAAAGGUCUGAGUAAAAUGCUGAACUACUUUCAUGCUCUGGACCGUAAACUGAAACUGUUCACAUGAAC
rnacentral:rRNA from 1 species